rnacentral:rRNA from 1 species
UACGUAGGGGGCAAGCGUUGUCCGGAUUUAUUGGGCGUAAAGAGCUCGUAGGCGGUUUGUUGCGUCGGCUGUGAAAUCCCGAGGCUCAACCUCGGGUCUGCAGUCGAUACGAGCAAACUAGAGUGUUGCAGGGGAGACUGGAAUUCCUGGUGUAGCGGUGAAAUGCGCAGAUAUCAGGAGGAACACCGGUGGCGAAGGCGGGUCUCUGGGCAACAACUGACGCUGAGGAGCGAAAGCGUGGGUAGCAAACAGG